rnacentral:misc_RNA from 1 species
GUUUAAUUCAAUCGCCUUUUUCACUUCAAUGGCAUUGAUUACACUCCUCACACAUGAACUUCCUCUCAUGCCUUGGCUCCUAAUUUCUGUAACUUCAACAAUUGGAGCUUACAUGUGUUCAAUAAUGGCUGUAUCACCUCAUGAAGUUGUCACAGUUUUCUUCAUAGGAAGUUGCAUAUUGUUAGCUGCCUUCUUGAAGUGUCUGGCCUUGGACAAGAUGGUGCUUGAUUUUAUGCAAUGGAUAUGCAGUAGAAUUGAACUAACAUAGAAAUGUUAGUUCUACAAAGGGCCUCUUACCCUCCUCUGCAGCCAUUUCUCAUAAAGUGCGCUAGCACUUUGUGAAUAAUUAAUAAUAUCAUACGUAUUAUUUUGAAGUAAAGUAAUUUGUAAUAACCCAUGGACAUGAGCUCAUGGUUACAAACAAUCUAUAAAUGUGUUGUAUUGCUGGUG